GGAAGGGUGGAUGAGCGGUUUAAGUCAUACGCCUGGAAAGCGUACGUGGGGUUAAACCCACCGCGGGUUCGAAUCCCGCCUCUUCCGCCA
rnacentral:tRNA from 1 species